rnacentral:rRNA from 1 species
AUCUUAUGUUGUUAUAAAGUAUUAGUACUGUAAAGGAAAGAUUAAAUGACAAAGAAGAAUUUAUAAAAUUAAGUACCUUUUGUAUCAGGGAUAUUCAAAAAGAUUAAUAAUGUAAUAUUCUAGAUAUAAUUUGAGUUAAAAUAUUAAUAUAUUUUUAUAGCAUUAAGAAGAAAAAAUUAUUUUAGUGGUGAAAAUCUUUCGAAAAUUUAGGUAUCUAGUUAAUUAAGAUGUAGCUUUAGGUUUUAUUUAGAGAAUAUUUAGAGCAGAAGGGUAAUCUUUCUGCUUUAGUAAAAGGUUAAUUAAAGUUUUAAAAAUUAGGGUUAUAAGUGUCCAUAUUUAUAAAUUGUUAUAAAUAAUUUAUAUUAUUUAAAUAGAUUUUAUAAAAGUAUUAAUUAAAUUAAAAAGUAUUGAUUUAUUAUAUUUAAUGGAUUUAUUAGUAUUUGGGUAAGAUAAAUAAAGAGAACUUAGCUAUUAUCUUUUGUCUGUUUAACAAAAACAUUUCUUUAUGAUAAAUAUAAAGUAAGGCCUGCCCUAUGAGAAUUUAAAUGGCUGCGGUAAUUUGACCGUGCUAAGGUAGCAGAAUAGUUUGUUCUUUAAUUGGGAGUUGGUAUGAAGGGUUACACAAAAAAUAUCUUUUUAAGUUAAAUAAAGUAAUUUAAAUUUCAAGUUAAAAUGCUUGAAUAUAAUAAAGGGACGAUAAGACCCUAAAAGCUUAAAUUAUUUAAAGAUUUAUUUUAUUUUUAUUGUAAAUGGUAGUUUGAUAAUAAUAUUAGCUGGGGAAGUGGUUUUGAUAAAAUCAAAAUUUUAUAUAACUUAUUUAAAGGGCGAUGAUCUUUUUAUAAAGAUAAAUAGUAAGAGUUACUUUAGGGAUAACAGCGCAAUGGUCUUGGAGAGUUCUUAUUUAUAGGAUUAUGUGCGACCUCGAUGUUGAAUUAAAAUUAUCUUAAAGGAGUAGAAGAUUUAUAAGAGGGUUUGUUCAACCUUUAAAUUUUUACAUGAUUUGAGUUCAAACCGGUUUAAGCCAGGUUGGUUUCUAUCUUUUAUAAAAAGUUAAAUUGCUUUAGUACGAGAGGGUUGAGUAGGUUUAAUAAUU